UGGGGAAUAUUGCACAAUGGGCGAAAGCCUGAUGCAGCAACGCCGCGUGAGUGAUGAAGGCCUUCGGGUUGUAAAGCUCUGUCUUUUGGGACGAUAAUGACGGUACCAAAGGAGGAAGCCACGGCUAACUACGUGCCAGCAGCCGCGGUAAUACGUAGGUGGCAAGCGUUGUCCGGAUUUACUGGGCGUAAAGGAUGCGUAGGCGGAUUUUUAAGUGAGAUGUGAAAUACCCGGGCUUAACUUGGGUGCUGCAUUUCAAACUGGGAAUCUAGAGUGCGGGAGAGGAGAAUGGAAUUCCUAGUGUAGCGGUGAAAUGCGUAGAGAUUAGGAAGAACACCAGUGGCGAAGGCGAUUCUCUGGACCGUAACUGACGCUGAGGCAUGAAAGCGUGGGUAGCAAACAGGAUUAGAUACACUGGUAGUCCACGCCGUAAACGAUGAGUACUAGGUGUAGGAGGUAUCGACCCCUUCUGUGCCGCAGUUAACACAAUAAGUACUCCGCCUGGGAAGUACGAUCGCAAGAUUAAAAACUC
rnacentral:rRNA from 1 species